rnacentral:pre_miRNA from 1 species
AUGGCUGAUUUACCAGAUGUUAGAUUGAAGGAGGUCAGUCGACCUUUCACUUACACCGGGUUAGAUUAUUUCGGUCCAA